rnacentral:RNase_P_RNA from 1 species
GCGGAGGGCCGGAUGGCCGCUUGGGCCGCAAGGCCCGGGAGGAAAGUCCGGACUCCACAAGGCAAGGGUGCCGGGUAACGCCCGGCGGGGGUAACCCCAGGGAAAGCGCCACAGAGAACAAACCGCCCCUGUCCGCAGGGGUAAGGGUGAAACGGUGGGGUAAGAGCCCACCGCGGGACUGGUAACAGGACCGGCACGGCAAGCCCCACCCGGAGCAAUGCCGAAUAGGGGCCUCGCGCGGGAAUGAUCCGGUUCGCCGGAUAUCACCGCAGGGUCUGCCUUGACCCAGAGGCCCGGGUUGGCAGCUAUAGGCGGGCCGGUAACGGUCCGUUCAGAGGAAUGGUCAUCUCGGGCGGUUCACGCCGCCUAUGACAGAAUCCGGCUUACAGGCCCUCCGCGCAU